AGCGUACACGGUGGAUGCCCUGGCAGUCAGAGGCGAUGAAGGACGUGCUAAUCUGCGAUAAGCGUCGGUAAGGUGAUAUGAACCGUUAUAACCGGCGAUUUCCGAAUGGGGAAACCCAGUGUGUUUCGACACACUAUCAUUAACUGAAUCCAUAGGUUAAUGAGGCGAACCGGGGGAACUGAAACAUCUAAGUACCCCGAGGAAAAGAAAUCAACCGAGAUUCCCCCAGUAGCGGCGAGCGAACGGGGAGCAGCCCAGAGCCUGAAUCAGUAUGUGUGUUAGUGGAAGCGUCUGGAAAGGCGCGCGAUACAGGGUGACAGCCCCGUACACAAAAAUGCACAUGCUGUGAGCUCGAUGAGUAGGGCGGGACACGUGGUAUCCUGUCUGAAUAUGGGGGGACCAUCCUCCAAGGCUAAAUACUCCUGACUGACCGAUAGUGAACCAGUACCGUGAGGGAAAGGCGAAAAGAACCCCGGCGAGGGGAGUGAAAAAGAACCUGAAACCGUGUACGUACAAGCAGUGGGAGCACGCUUAGGCGUGUGACUGCGUACCUUUUGUAUAAUGGGUCAGCGACUUAUAUUCUGUAGCAAGGUUAACCGAAUAGGGGAGCCGAAGGGAAACCGAGUCUUAACUGGGCGUUAAGUUGCAGGGUAUAGACCCGAAACCCGGUGAUCUAGCCAUGGGCAGGUUGAAGGUUGGGUAACACUAACUGGAGGACCGAACCGACUAAUGUUGAAAAAUUAGCGGAUGACUUGUGGCUGGGGGUGAAAGGCCAAUCAAACCGGGAGAUAGCUGGUUCUCCCCGAAAGCUAUUUAGGUAGCGCCUCGUGAAUUCAUCUCCGGGGGUAGAGCACUGUUUCGGCAAGGGGGUCAUCCCGACUUACCAACCCGAUGCAAACUGCGAAUACCGGAGAAUGUUAUCACGGGAGACACACGGCGGGUGCUAACGUCCGUCGUGAAGAGGGAAACAACCCAGACCGCCAGCUAAGGUCCCAAAGUCAUGGUUAAGUGGGAAACGAUGUGGGAAGGCCCAGACAGCCAGGAUGUUGGCUUAGAAGCAGCCAUCAUUUAAAGAAAGCGUAAUAGCUCACUGGUCGAGUCGGCCUGCGCGGAAGAUGUAACGGGGCUAAACCAUGCACCGAAGCUGCGGCAGCGACACUAUGUGUUGUUGGGUAGGGGAGCGUUCUGUAAGCCUGUGAAGGUGUGCUGUGAGGCAUGCUGGAGGUAUCAGAAGUGCGAAUGCUGACAUAAGUAACGAUAAAGCGGGUGAAAAGCCCGCUCGCCGGAAGACCAAGGGUUCCUGUCCAACGUUAAUCGGGGCAGGGUGAGUCGACCCCUAAGGCGAGGCCGAAAGGCGUAGUCGAUGGGAAACAGGUUAAUAUUCCUGUACUUGGUGUUACUGCGAAGGGGGGACGGAGAAGGCUAUGUUGGCCGGGCGACGGUUGUCCCGGUUUAAGCGUGUAGGCUGGUUUUCCAGGCAAAUCCGGAAAAUCAAGGCUGAGGCGUGAUGACGAGGCACUACGGUGCUGAAGCAACAAAUGCCCUGCUUCCAGGAAAAGCCUCUAAGCAUCAGGUAACAUCAAAUCGUACCCCAAACCGACACAGGUGGUCAGGUAGAGAAUACCAAGGCGCUUGAGAGAACUCGGGUGAAGGAACUAGGCAAAAUGGUGCCGUAACUUCGGGAGAAGGCACGCUGAUAUGUAGGUGAAGUCCCUCGCGGAUGGAGCUGAAAUCAGUCGAAGAUACCAGCUGGCUGCAACUGUUUAUUAAAAACACAGCACUGUGCAAACACGAAAGUGGACGUAUACGGUGUGACGCCUGCCCGGUGCCGGAAGGUUAAUUGAUGGGGUUAGCCGCAAGGCGAAGCUCUUGAUCGAAGCCCCGGUAAACGGCGGCCGUAACUAUAACGGUCCUAAGGUAGCGAAAUUCCUUGUCGGGUAAGUUCCGACCUGCACGAAUGGCGUAAUGAUGGCCAGGCUGUCUCCACCCGAGACUCAGUGAAAUUGAACUCGCUGUGAAGAUGCAGUGUACCCGCGGCAAGACGGAAAGACCCCGUGAACCUUUACUAUAGCUUGACACUGAACAUUGAGCCUUGAUGUGUAGGAUAGGUGGGAGGCUUAGAAGUGUGGACGCCAGUCUGCAUGGAGCCGACCUUGAAAUACCACCCUUUAAUGUUUGAUGUUCUAACGUUGACCCGUAAUCCGGGUUGCGGACAGUGUCUGGUGGGUAGUUUGACUGGGGCGGUCUCCUCCUAAAGAGUAACGGAGGAGCACGAAGGUUGGCUAAUCCUGGUCGGACAUCAGGAGGUUAGUGCAAUGGCAUAAGCCAGCUUGACUGCGAGCGUGACGGCGCGAGCAGGUGCGAAAGCAGGUCAUAGUGAUCCGGUGGUUCUGAAUGGAAGGGCCAUCGCUCAACGGAUAAAAGGUACUCCGGGGAUAACAGGCUGAUACCGCCCAAGAGUUCAUAUCGACGGCGGUGUUUGGCACCUCGAUGUCGGCUCAUCACAUCCUGGGGCUGAAGUAGGUCCCAAGGGUAUGGCUGUUCGCCAUUUAAAGUGGUACGCGAGCUGGGUUUAGAACGUCGUGAGACAGUUCGGUCCCUAUCUGCCGUGGGCGCUGGAGAACUGAGGGGGGCUGCUCCUAGUACGAGAGGACCGGAGUGGACGCAUCACUGGUGUUCGGGUUGUCAUGCCAAUGGCACUGCCCGGUAGCUAAAUGCGGAAGAGAUAAGUGCUGAAAGCAUCUAAGCACGAAACUUGCCCCGAGAUGAGUUCU
rnacentral:rRNA from 1 species